UACAGAGGGGGCAAGCGUUGUUCGGAAUUACUGGGCGUAAAGGGCGCGUAGGCGGCCUGCUAAGUCGAACGUGAAAUCCCCGGGCUCAACCCGGGAACUGCGUUCGAGACUGGCGGGCUUGAAUCCGGGAGAGGGAUGCGGAAUUCCAGGUGUAGCGGUGAAAUGCGUAGAUAUCUGGAGGAACACCGGUGGCGAAGGCGGCAUCCUGGACCGGCAUUGACGCUGAGGCGCGAAAGCCAGGGGAGCAAACGGG
rnacentral:rRNA from 1 species